rnacentral:lncRNA from 1 species
GUUGCACUGGAGAAUCUAAACUCUUUUGGAGAUGUCCCAAGGCCUAACCUGCACCUCUUCACAGCAUAGGCAAGAAAAUUCUGUCUGACCUUUCUGCCGGGAGGAGGGAAUGUUUAGGUAAAAAUGAGAAACCUAUGAAAUCAGCCACCAACAUGGCUGUGUCACUUUGGUGCUCCCACAACAACUUGAAGCAUUUUUCAUAUUAAACUUAAUAGCUGACCUGUCUACCCCCUAGCCUGUGAGAUCCUUCAGGGAAGGACUUUCCCUCAUGUUUUACUCACCUCUAUUGCUCUAACAACUAGGGCA